rnacentral:tmRNA from 1 species
GGGGCUGAACGGUUUCGACUUCGCGCAUCGAAUCAAGGGAAGCGUGCCGGUGCAGGCAAGAGACCACCGUAAGCGUCGUUGCGACCAAAUAAGCGCCGAUUCACAUCAGCGCGACUACGCUCUCGCUGCCUAAGCGACGGCUAGUCUGUCAGACCGGGAACGCCCUCGGCCCGGACCCUGGCAUCAGCUAGAGGGAUCCACCGAUGAGUCCGGUCGCGGGACUCCUCGGGACAACCACAGCGACUGGGAAUCGUCAUCUCGGCUAGUUCGCGUGACCGGGAGAUCCGAGCAGAGGCAUUAGCGAACUGCGCACGGAGAAGCCUUGAGGGAAUGCCGUAGGACCCGGGUUCGAUUCCCGGCAGCUCCACCG